rnacentral:rRNA from 1 species
GGUCGGUUUGGCCGGAUUUCACACAGGUGUUGCAUGGCUGUCGUCAGCUCGUGUCGUGAGAUGUUGGGUUAAGUCCCGCAACGAGCGCAACCCUCAUCCUUAGUUACCAUCAGGUUAUGCUGGGGACUUUAAGGAAACUGCCAGUGAUAGACUGGAGGAAGGUGGGGAUGAUGUCAAGUCAUCAUGGCCCUUAUGGAGUGGGCUACACACGUGCUACAAUGGUGAUUACAAUGGGCUGCAAGGUCGCAAGGCUGAGCUAAUCCUAAAAAAUCAUCUCAGUUCGGAUUGUUCUCUGCAACUCGAGAGCAUGAAGUUGGAAUCGCUAGUAAUCGUGGACCAGCAUGCCACGGUGAAUACGUUCUCGGGUCUUGUACACACUGCCCGUCACGCCAUGGUAAUUGGUUUCACUCGAAGC